CGAACUGUGAACAUGGAGCAUGCUCUGUGCGAGCAGUGCCGAACGGGUGAGUAACACGUGAGCAACCUGCUCCCGACUCUGGGAUAAGCGCUGGAAACGGCGUCUAAUACUGGAUAUGUGACGUGACCGCAUGGUGUGCGUCUGGAAAGAAUUUCGGUUGGGGAUGGGCUCGCGGCCUAUCAGCUUGUUGGCGAGGUAAUGGCUCACCAAGGCGUCGACGGGUAGCCGGCCUGAGAGGGUGACCGGCCACACUGGGACUGAGACACGGCCCAGACUCCUACGGGAGGCAGCAGUGGGGAAUAUUGCACAAUGGGCGCAAGCCUGAUGCAGCAACGCCGCGUGAGGGACGACGGCCUUCGGGUUGUAAACCUCUUUUAGCAGGGAAGAAGCGAAAGUGACGGUACCUGCAGAAAAAGCGCCGGCUAACUACGUGCCAGCAGCCGCGGUAAUACGUAGGGCGCAAGCGUUAUCCGGAAUUAUUGGGCGUAAAGAGCUCGUAGGCGGUUUGUCGCGUCUGCUGUGAAAUCCGGAGGCUCAACCUCCGGCCUGCAGUGGGUACGGGCAGACUAGAGUGCGGUAGGGGAGAUUGGAAUUCCUGGUGUAGCGGUGGAAUGCGCAGAUAUCAGGAGGAACACCGAUGGCGAAGGCAGAUCUCUGGGCCGUAACUGACGCUGAGGAGCGAAAGGGUGGGGAGCAAACAGGCUUAGAUACCCUGGUAGUCCACCCCGUAAACGUUGGGAACUAGUUGUGGGGUCCAUUCCACGGAUUCCGUGACGCAGCUAACG
rnacentral:rRNA from 1 species